UCAUAAACAAAAUGGUUCUGGCUACAA
rnacentral:sRNA from 1 species